AAAUGACAAAGUGAUGACGUUAAUUUAUGAAUAAGCCCCGGCUAAUUACGUGCCAGCAGCCGCGGUAAUACGUAAGGGGCGAGCGUUGUUCGGGAUUAUUGGGCGUAAAGGGUGAGUAGGCGGAUAUAUAAGUCUAUGCAUAAAAUACCACAGCUCAACUGUGGACCUAUGUUGGAAACUAUAUGUCUAGAGUCUGAUAGAGGAAGUUAGAAUUUCUGGUGUAAGGGUGGAAUCUGUUGAUAUCAGAAAGAAUACCGGAGGCGAAGGCGAACUUCUGGGUCAAGACUGACGCUGAGUCACGAAAGCGUAGGGAGCAAACAGGAUUAGAUACCCUGGUAGUCUA
rnacentral:rRNA from 1 species